AAUAAUAUCAGUAAUAAACGUAAAUAAGAACACAAAAUCAAUAAUAAAAUCUUGUUUAAAAUUAGAUUUAUUAAUUAUUAGAUGCCAUAAUUUUAAUUUCUUAAACAUAUUAAACUACAAUUAUAAGCACUUAUGCACUUACCUGAUUUUUGCUUAAAUCUCUUUCGUGAUAUUAUCUCCAAGAUACAAGAUCAACCUGUUACAAUGAUAUCCAUAUAAGGUCAGUAGUGAAUUGAGCCUCUCCUAAUUUCAAAUACCCAAGCCAAGGCUUAUUCUUAAUUCUAAACUGGGUAAAUAAUUUAAAUUAUUAAAAUCAAAUAAGUGUAAUUAAAUUUAAGUCUAAAACGGUAAAUCAUCAAGGUUUUUAAACUCACCUACUCGAACCAGGUUAUUUUUGGACUCACUGUAUGCAACUAAUAGAAGUCUGUGCGCCUAUGCACACACCGCCACUGGAUCACCACGCGUCACUGUCGCUCACCGUUGCGGAUUGGCCAAAAUUCAGUAUAGAACACUUCACGCUCUCAAAUCUGGCACAAAUCUGGUGAUACCACGCCAAAGAGCACUCGGGAAUGUGAAGUCGCACUUGGCCGCCACUAUGGGUUUCUUUCUCUCUGAUCCCACCGCUACGCGCAACACCAGCUUCUCCUUCUCCUUCUUCUUUUUCUUCCUCUCCCCUCUCUCAGCUGCCGAUUGGUGGUAAUUGUAACUUAUCUCUCUCUCUCUCUCUCUCUCUCUCUCUCUCUCUCUCUCUCUCUCUCUCUCUCUUUU
rnacentral:lncRNA from 1 species